AAUGUGGUGGGUAUAUAAUUUAAAGAACUAUUUUUAAAAUACAACUUUUAGAGUUUUUAUUAUUAGGCGGCC
rnacentral:tRNA from 1 species